rnacentral:tRNA from 1 species
UGAGGCUAUAGCUCAGUAGCAGAGUCCUUGCCUAGCAUGCAUGAGGCCCUGGGUUCAACUCCCAGCACAA